CAUGCAAGUCGAGGGGCAGCACAGGUAGCAAUACCGGGUGGCGACCGGCGCACGGGUGAGUAACGCGUAUGCAACUUACCUAUCAGAGGGGGAUAACCCGGCGAAAGUCGGACUAAUACCGCAUGAAGCAGGGGCCCCGCAUGGGGAUAUUUGCUAAAGAUUCAUCGCUGAUAGAUAGGCAUGCGUUCCAUUAGGCAGUUGGCGGGGUAACGGCCCACCAAACCGACGAUGGAUAGGGGUUCUGAGAGGAAGGUCCCCCACAUUGGUACUGAGACACGGACCAAACUCCUACGGGAGGCAGCAGUGAGGAAUAUUGGUCAAUGGCCGAGAGGCUGAACCAGCCAAGUCGCGUGAGGGAUGAAGGUUCUAUGGAUCGUAAACCUCUUUUAUAAGGGAAUAAAGUGCGGGACGUGUCCCGUUUUGUAUGUACCUUAUGAAUAAGGAUCGGCUAACUCCGUGCCAGCAGCCGCGGUAAUACGGAGGAUCCGAGCGUUAUCCGGAUUUAUUGGGUUUAAAGGGUGCGUAGGCGGCCUUUUAAGUCAGCGGUGAAAGUCUGUGGCUCAACCAUAGAAUUGCCGUUGAAACUGGGGGGCUUGAGUAUGUUUGAGGCAGGCGGAA
rnacentral:rRNA from 1 species